GUUGCGUAAAGGGAAAGGUCGUAGUCAAACCCUACAACCACGCGAUUCUAAGUCAGCCACGAAUCGGCUAUCCCAACUAACGGCGGGAAAGGCUCCAUGGAGGGUGUAAGACCCGUGUGGGCGCGUGUCAAUGUUGUGUGGGUUCGGCCUCUUCCCUGAGAGUCGCGUUGCUUGAACAUGCAGCGCUAAGCAGGUCGUAAACUCGAUCUAAGGCUAAAUAUGUCCACAGGUCCGAUAGUAAACAAGUACCGUGAGGGAAAGUUGAAAAGCACUCUGAAGAGAGAGUCAAAAGACCGUGAAACCGCUCAGAGUAUAAGCCCAUGGAGCCUGGAAGGCUUCCGCAGUCACGUGCAACCUGAAGGAUGUACGGCAAGUCAUGAGAAAGGUUCGUUAGGGUGCUGCCUGUGGCUAGCGAAGCUCCAGCACCCGGCGUCCGGCGCUUUGCGCACGAGGUUGGGGCUUGCGGUGUAACAGCCGUGAGCUUUCUUCUCUCGUCAGCUUUGUCCAAGUAUUGACGUUCAAGGUCUUGACUUAUUGCGGUGAUUGCCCACCACAGUUCGUUGUGAGGUCACCCACAGGCUCAAACUGUCGAUUGCGCGCCCAGCGCGCAGCAUAUUCUAUAAGUGUGUGUGAUGAUCUCCGAAUGCGAGGCUCGGAUGGUAGCACGCACGCACUGUGUCGUUGGGCCGGGCGACGAACCGAGUAUAUCCUGGUAUGAUCCUCGUGCGACGAUCUGAUUUCUGACCGAGUCCCUUACCAUGCUCUCCACCCAUGAGUCGGGUGGAGUGCGCGACAUUAUCUGAAAUGCCGGCUGUUUGGCUCCCUGAAACGAACUCUCAAAGCCUCAGUCGAUGGUUUGUCAUAUGGCUCGUAUGGUGUUAAGUCCAGCACCAUCGGUCACGUCUCGAAACACGGGCCAAGGAGUAUAGCAUGUGUGCAAGUCUAAGGGUCUCACAAAACCCGCAGGCGAAGUGAAAGCAAAUGUGUGGCGGGAGGGCUAAGGAGUUCCCGUCAGCUUGGUGGUAAAAGAUCUGGCUUUAACCGAGCUGAUACUGUUCUGCUGGCAAUGUCUCUAAACAGUCGCAAGCUCCGGGCUCACAUAUCAACACUGGCUCCUCGUAGCUGUGUCGUGAGCACUGUGGAGCAUGCAUGCUAUAACCCGAAAGAUAGUGAACUAUGCCUGGCGAGGGCGAAGCCCCAGGAA
rnacentral:rRNA from 1 species